UUAGGUUAAGUUAUGAAGGGCGCAUGGUGAAUGCCUUGGUACUAGGAGCCGAUGAAGGACGGGACUAACACCGAUAUGCUUCGGGGAGCGGUAAGUACGCUUUGAUCCGGAGAUUUCCGAAUGGGGCAACCCAAUCAGCUUAGUCGCUGAUUACUUGACUAGUGAAUACAUAGCUAGCAAGAGGUAGACGCAGUGAACUGAAACAUCUUAGUAGCUGCAGGAAGAGAAAGAAAUAUCGAUUCCCUGAGUAGCGGCGAGCGAAAAGGGAAGAGCCCAAACCAACGAGCUUGCUUGUUGGGGUUGUAGGACUGAACAUUAGAGUUACCAAAGUGCGACGUAGUCGCAACAGUUGGGAAGCUGUGCCAUAGAGGGUGAAAGCCCCGUAGACGAAACGUCACACUCUCUGUUCAGGAUCCUGAGUAAGGACGGACACGUGAAACCCCGUCGGAA
rnacentral:rRNA from 2 species